AUUGAACGCUGGCGGCAGGCCUAACACAUGCAAGUCGAGCGAGCGGCGGACGGGUGAGUAAUGUCUGGGAAACUGCCUGAUGGAGGGGGAUAACUACUGGAAACGGUAGCUAAUACCGCAUACCAUCAGAUGUGCCCAGAUGGUAUUAGCUAGUAGGUGGGGUAAUGGCUCACCUAGGCGACGAUCCCUAGCUGGUCUGAGAGGAUGACCAGCCACACUGGAACUGAGACACGGUCCAGACUCCUACGGGAGGCAGCAGUAGGGAAUCUUCCGCAAUGGGCGAAAGCCUGACGGAGCAACGCCGCGUGUGUGAAGAAGGUCUUCGGAUUGUAAAGCACUUUAAGUUGGGAGGCGUUACCAACAGAAUAAGCACCGGCUAACUUCGUGCCAGCAGCCGCGGUAAUUC
rnacentral:rRNA from 1 species